rnacentral:rRNA from 1 species
AUGAUCCCGAUCAGCAUCGAGCUAUGGAAUGAGCCUAAGGAUGAAGAGCUUCAAGUUUCUUUUGUCGAAGAUAGACAGAAACAUGAUCUUUGGAAAGCGCUGAAGGUAACUUUCACCCUACCGAAAGAGGAGGAUCCGGAGAAUCCAGUUAUAGAGCCAUUGAUCAAGUCCUUUGCUCUCAAGAAGGGCGAUCUAUUCAGGAAGUGGAAGAAUGACCUGAAAGCAAAGUUUGUCGACAAAGAAAAGACACCAGAAUUCGUCGGCCAGUACGAGAAGCUCAGAGAUCAAUGGGACACAUUUGUGGCCAACAAGACAUCGGGGAGGAGUAAGAAGAUGUCAGCGACAAACAAGAUAAAUGCUGCAUAG